rnacentral:tRNA from 2 species
ACAACACUCAAAAAAGAGUA